rnacentral:tRNA from 1 species
GUUCUCANGCUCAGUUGGGAGAGCACCUCCCUUACAAGGAGGGGGUCACUGGUUCGAGCCCGGUAUCG